GAUGAACGCUGGCGGCGUGCCUAAUACAUGCAAGUCGAGCGAACAGACGAGGAGCUUGCUCCUCUGACGUUAGCGGCGGACGGGUGAGUAACACGUGGAUAACCUACCUAUAAGACUGGGAUAACUUCGGGAAACCGGAGCUAAUACCGGAUAAUAUCUUGAACCGCAUGGUUCAAUAGUGAAAGACGGUUUUGCUGUCACUUAUAGAUGGAUCCGCGCCGCAUUAUCUAGUUGGUAAGGUAACGGCUUACCAAGGCAACGAUGCGUAGCCGACCUGAGAGGGUGAUCGGCCACACUGGAACUGAGACACGGUCCAGACUCCUACGGGAGGCAGCAGUAGGGAAUCUUCCGCAAUGGGCGAAAGCCUGACGGAGCAACGCCGCGUGAGUGACGAAGGUCUUCGGAUCGUAAAACUCUGUUAUUAGGGAAGAACAAAUGUGGAAGUAACUAUGCACGUCUUGACGGUACCUAAUCAGAAAGCCACGGCUAACUACGUG
rnacentral:rRNA from 1 species